CCUGGACAGGAACCGAGACAGACAGAGAGAUGGCCGCCCAGAGGGAGAGCGAAUGAGGCCGAGCCAGGCUGACCCGAAACCUGCUCCAGACUGACCAGAAGCGGAACGUCAGGAUCCAAAGAGAGAAUCCGUUGUUCCAUUCAUCCAGAGCAGGCUGCCUGGGACGACCUGGCGGGGGAAGGAUUAACGGACACCCGCCCCUCCCCUUGGACCUGCUGCCCUGCCCUGGGAAGGCCCAGAACCCACCUCCGGGAAGAGAAUUUUCUUCAUGGAAAGGACAGGAUUAUAAUAACAGGAACCAUUUCAAAACGAUCCCAAUGCCCGGACUGAAAUAUCAGAGCGAGCCAUUGUAGGCUAGCGGUGAAGUGCACAGACACUGGUUCAAAUCCUGGCUUCUCUACUUCCCAGCUGUGUGACCUUAGGUAAGUUACUUAACUUCUCUGUGCUCAGUUACCUCCCCAGUCAAAAAGUUUUUUGUUUUCUCUAUGCAGCGCUUUACUGCAUAGAGUUGUUAUCAGGAUUAAAUGAGUAAUUAUUCACGAAGCAUUUAGAACAGUGCCUGGCGUAUGUUACAAGCUGAAUGAGUGUUGGUUAAAUUUAAGAUGAUAGGUCUUUCAAGUUGUAAAUACUCUUAUUGACUACACUAGAAGACAUGAUAAAAUAAUGAGAAGCUUGCAUCUAUUCAUAGAACCCCCCUGAAUGCAACAGCCCCAAAUGCAGACCUAUGCAGAGUGAAGUAUUGGCAACUCAAAUACCACAAGCACUGUUGAAAUUAAGUAGGUAAUUUUCCCAAAUGGUGGAAACCCUGGGUAAGGUUCUGAACAAAAUAAAGAGCAAUCUACCUUCAAUUUACAUGGAAGCUGUAUUUCUGGCAAAUUCAGUGUAUGUUAAAGCUCAGAGCAUUCAUGCAAAAGUGCUCUUAUUUCUGUGCAAGCCAGACCUGGGUUCUGGGCUCAGACACAAGUGUUUUUCCUUCAUGUGAACGUCUGGCAGGACAUUCAAAAGUCAAAAGGCACGUGGAACUUUCUCCAUGGUGUGGAAUGUCCUGCACGUUGCAGGGCAGCCAGCAUCCAGGGCCCACCCACUAAAUGCCAGUGGGGCCCCCACUCAUGAAAACUGAAUGCACCCCCACAAAUUCCCCAAAUGGCGCCCAGGAGGCUCCUGGGUUCUACACCAGCUGCCAGAGGGACUUUUCCAAAUCCCAGACUGUCGACUCCCAGUUACCCUCAGGCCAAGUCCAAAUUCCUGAACCCGAUGCCCAAAUCCUCGUCAUGCAGCUGCCGGCUUUACCUCCACAGAUGCGGACCCAUACCACCAGCAUACCACCCAUACCACCCUACACCCAGCUGUGCCACGUCCCCAACCCCAACUGGACACACACACACACGCAUGCACACA